rnacentral:piRNA from 1 species
UGUGGUUUGCAGUUGCUUCGAGGAGGCAU